rnacentral:tRNA from 1 species
GCCCCUAUCGUCUAGCGGCCAAGGACGCCGGCCCCUCAGGUCGGAAACCGAGAUUCGAAUUCUCGUGGGGGCACCA